GAUGAAGAACGUAGCGAAAUGCGAUAAGUAGUGUGAAUUGCAGAAUUCAGUGAAUCAUCGAAUCUUUGAACGCACAUUGCGCCCCUUGGUAUUCCAUGGGGCAUGCCUGUUCGAGCGUCAUUUGUACCUUCAAGCUCUGCUUGGUGUUAGGUGUUUGUCUCGCCUCUGCGUGUAGACUCGCCUCAAAACAAUUGGCAGCCGGCGUAUUGAUUUCGGAGCGCAGUACAUCUCGCGCUUUGCACUCAUAACGACGACGUCCAAAAGUACAUUUUUACACUCUUGACCUCGGAUCAGGUAGGGAUACCCGCUGAACUUAAGCAUAUCAAUAAGCGGAGGA
rnacentral:misc_RNA from 1 species